GGCUUGUGGCUCAGCGGUAGAGCACUUGCCUAGGGUGUGCGAGGCCCUGGGUUCAAUAUUCAGCAUCA
rnacentral:tRNA from 1 species